GACGAACGCUUGCGGCGUGCCUAAGAAAUGCAAGUCGAGCGGGGGUAGCAAUACCCUAGCGGCGAACGGUCGCGUAACACGUAAGCAACCUGCCCCGAAGACCGGGACAACAGCUCGAAAGGGCUGCUAAUACCGGAUGUGGCCAUUGGGGGACAUCCCCUGGUGAUUAAAUCAAGCAAUUGGCUUCGGGAGGGGCUUGCGGCCUAUCAGCUAGUUGGUGGGGUAACGGCCUACCAAGGCGACGACGGGUAGCUGGUCUGAGAGGACGGCCAGCCGGACUGGGACUGAGAUACGGCCCAGACUUCUACGGGGGGCAGCAAUUAGGAAUCUUGCGCAAUGGGCGAAAGCCUGACGCAGCGACGCCGCGUGGAGGAGGAAGUCCUUCGGGAUGUAAACUCCUUUUGCCAGGGAAGAAACAAAUGACGGUACCUGGUGAAUAAGCCCCGGCUAACUACGUGCCAGCAGCCGCCGUAACAC
rnacentral:rRNA from 1 species